UGGGUGUAAGUUGGAUAACUAGAAUUAUUUGAGUCUAUUUACUUCGUAUUUCUGCUUUCCUAAUCGUAAUUGAUUAUUGUACACUCAUUCAACUUGAACGCAUAGAAAUUCACAGACACUCAAAUAUCUCACUUUCACCCAAAGUAUAAUUUCCCUUUAAGGACCUCCGCGUCAGACGUUUUUUUUUCUGACGUCAUGACGCACGAGCCUGACUGGAACUUCUGCUCAACCGCCAUUUUCUUUUUCUCUCGCACUCGGAUGAAUAAGACGGCAGGAGGUAGUGAACCAGGAGCCCAGUGUUAGGGAUUUCAAGGCGAGGUGGCCUGCGCUUUUCAGACAUUACGAGAUCAAUGCAGAGUUCCAUAGGCUUAUGGCUGUUCCACUAGAAGACACGUUCCUUGCCCAGUUAGAUGUGCACAUGAGUCAACUAAUUAGAGUAAUCCGUUUAAAAGGAGGAGCAACCCGUGAGAAGACUGCAGAAAUUCUUCAGAUUUUGGAUCAGGUACGUCUGUGUGUUUUAC